CAACUCGAUUUCCCCUCGAACAGUUACAGCCUGGACUUUGAUCCUGCCACUGUCUUCAUCCGUACUGACCACGUAGCGUCCGUCAGGUCACUGAUACUGACUUAUGGAAACUCAUUUCACAUGGAGCACCUUUUCAUCCAUUCAGUGCAGGCAGAGGGAAAUGAAGUGAGUGCUUAGUUCCGGAUCCCUUCCCUGAACGAUGCCAAACUGCGCUCUGCAAGGCGGAGGACAAUGUGAUGGCAUGCAGGACUUCUUGGACAAAUGCCUGAAGAAGUUAAAAACUGGUUCUUAUCCUCAGCUUUAAUUGAAAGAAGUGGGUCAGGAUGGGGUUUAUGUGCACGGGAGCUGCAGCGAAGGAGCAGCGCUCACACCGAAUCUGUGAUCUGCAGUCUCAAAGAAACCCUUGCACUUGGAGAGGCUUUAAUAGACAACAAUCUACCCCAGGAAGCAAUAAAAAUGGAUGUGUUCCUAGAUAUCCAUCUGAAAUAACAGGCAGCUGAAAUGUGUAAGCGGAGACAUUUGCAUACAAAUAUUUUCUGGCUCGUGGAAGAGCCUGCUUAAAUACUCCCCUUUCUUGGGCAGUGCUGCUGUUGCCACUUACUGCUUCUGAGUGGAGAAUUUCCAACAUGAUCUCACUAAGCCUCAUUAGACUGUGAGCAAUUAUUUUUCUGUGCUGAGGGUGAGAGAGAACGGACCAAGUUCUGGCCCUGAACAAAUGAAAUAGGAAAUUAGGCACAGCACUCUCUGCUCUGCACAUGGGAAACCACAGGCAAUUAUCCACAUUUAAUAUUUCUGAGGAAAUAUCAUCUGUGUACGGUCAAUUAAUCACACUGAAACAAAAGGACAAUAAAACAACAACAAAAAAGAGUGUAAUUGUUCCACCUGCCUGCCUUUGAACCCAGACCAUACCUUCUCAUCUCAGCCUUUCACAGCCUUGCCUCCUGCCACUGCUGUUAGUCGUAGCUAUACUUUGAAAGCAAAGAGGAAAAACGAGGUAGGGACAAAUUAAGAAUCACAGCCCCAAAGUCUGUCUCAUUAUUUUGUGUUCCAGCAAGCAAAUCUCUGUAGUUUGGAUCAGACUCAACACAUAAUCAUUUAAGUGUGACCCUCUCUGUCCUGGCUGCUCGCUGCAGGGAACUUAAGAUUAAUGCAAGGAGUUGUGUGAAGAUUUUUGGAGUGUUUGACUUCGUUAAGCUAUGCUGGGGACAGAAGAUAGUUAAACACUUGUUAUGUUGUGGUAAAGAAUAAAGUGCUGUGCAGUUAUCAUCAAUUUUGAUAAUGUUAAUGGGAGGCUUCCUGUGCCUGCUGGGAAGCAGCCAGUGUUACUCCACGUCAUUAGUACAUUAGAGAUACAACCUCAUUAACCACUUCAUCACAUUAACACUCAAAACUGAUGGCUCAUAGAGGUGGUUUUUGUUAAUAUGCACUGCAUCCCAUUUGUCUGCUCCAACCAUACACCUCACACAGAGAUCCAGUCCUUGGACAAGUUGGAAAUACGUGGGAGAACCAUGUAUUAUUAGGCAGAAUGAACUUUCACCACUUCUGGCAAUAAAAUC